UAGGGAAUCUUCCGCAAUGGACGAAAGUCUGACGGAGCAACGCCGCGUGAGUGAUGAAGGUUUUCGGAUCGUAAAGCUCUGUUGUUAGGGAAGAACAAGUGCCGUUCGAAUAGGGCGGCACCUUGACGGUACCUAACCAGAAAGCCACGGCUAACUACGUGCCAGCAGCCGCGGUAAUACGUAGGUGGCAAGCGUUGUCCGGAAUUAUUGGGCGUAAAGCGCGCGCAGGCGGUCUUUUAAGUCUGAUGUGAAAGCCCACGGCUCAACCGUGGAGGGUCAUUGGAAACUGGGAGACUUGAGUACAGAAGAGGAGAGUGGAAUUCCACGUGUAGCGGUGAAAUGCGUAGAUAUGUGGAGGAACACCAGUGGCGAAGGCGACUCUCUGGUCUGUAACUGACGCUGAGGCGCGAAAGCGUGGGGAGCAAACAGGAUUAGAUACCCUGGUAGUCCACGCCGUAAACGAUGAGUGCUAGGUGUUAGGGGUUUCGAUGCCCUUAGUGCCG
rnacentral:rRNA from 1 species